rnacentral:rRNA from 1 species
UUAUUUGAUAGUACCUUACUACUUGGAUAACCGUGGUAAUUCUAGAGCUAAUACAUGCUAAAAACCCCGACUUCGGGAGGGGUGUAUUUAUUAGAUAAAAAACCAAUGCCCUUCGGGGCUCCUUGGUGAUUCAUAAUAACUUCUCAGAUCGCAUGGCCUUGCGCCGGCGACGGUUCAUUCAAAUUUCUGCCCUAUCAACUUUCGAUGGUAAGGUAUUGGCUUACCAUGGUUUCAACGGGUAACGGGGAAUUAGGGUUCGAUUCCGGAGAGGGAGCCUGAGAAACGGCUACCACAUCCAAGGAAGGCAGCAGGCGCGCAAAUUACCCAAUCCCGACACGGGGAGGUAGUGACAAUAAAUACUGAUACAGGGCUCUUUAGGGUCUUGUAAUUGGAAUGAGUACAAUUUAAACCUCUUAACGAGGAACAAUUGGAGGGCAAGUCUGGUGCCAGCAGCCGCGGUAAUUCCAGCUCCAAUAGCGUAUAUUAAAGUUGUUGCAGUUAAAAAGCUCGUAGUUGAACCUUUGGCCUGGCUGGCGGGUCCGCCUCACCGCGUGCACUCGUCCGGCCGGGCCUUUUCUUCUGGAGAACCGCAUGCCCUUCACUGGGUGUGUUGGGGACCAGGACUUUUACUUUGAAAAAAUUAGAGUGUUCAAAGCAGGCCUUUGCUCGAAUACGUUAGCAUGGAAUAAUAGAAUAGGACGUGCGGUCCUAUUUUGUUGGUUUCUAGGACCGCCGUAAUGAUUAAUAGGGACAGUCGGGGGCAUCAGUAUUCAAUUGUCAGAGGUGAAAUUCUUGGAUUUAUUGAAGACUAACUACUGCGAAAGCAUUUGCCAAGGAUGUUUUCAUUAAUCAGUGAACGAAAGUUAGGGGAUCGAAGACGAUCAGAUACCGUCGUAGUCUUAACCAUAAACUAUGCCGACUAGGGAUCGGGCGGUGUUAUUAUUUUGACUCGCUCGGCACCUUACGAGAAAUCAAAGUGU